AUAAUUUUCACGGCUUAUGAACACGCUAACAGUUAGAACGUUGAAAGUCGUUUCCGGUGUUUUAUGUGGAUUUUCUGAUUGUUCGUCUGUUACUUAAGUGUCGCUUAAAAGAAAGAUAGUUCUUUUAAGAGGCAAAUAAUGCUUUGGCUUCAAUAUUAAUGUAAUUAAGUGUUUUUAUUUCUGCCGCUGUCGUUGUCGUUAUCGGUUGCCAAACUCCCUAUAUAUAUUAGAAUUCGAGACAGGUCGCGCUUACUAAAAAUAAUAUAUAAAGAUUUAUAAUAUAUAAAGAUUUAUACAGCGCUUAAAUUAUAUAAAAUAUUCCAAAGCGCUUUAC